rnacentral:sRNA from 1 species
CGCGGGGGUGGGGACGGGUGGAGUGGGGGUCUGGGCCCAUUUAUCUCGCGUUGCGGGGCCGGGCGCCUGGGCGGGCGGAGGCGCCAGUAGCUGCUGCUGGUGCUGACAAUGUCAAAUAACGGCCUAGACAUUCAAGACAAACCCCCAGCCCCUCCGAUGAGAAAUACCAGCACUAUGAUUGGAGCCGGCAGCAAAGAUGCUGGAACCCUAAACCAUGGUUCUAAACCUCUGCCUCCAAACCCAGAGGAGAAGAAAAAGAAGGACCGAUUUUACCGAUCCAUCUUACCUGGAGAUAAAACAAAUAAAAAGAAAGAGAAAGAGCGGCCAGAGAUUUCUCUCCCUUCAGAUUUUGAACACACAAUUCAUGUCGGUUUUGAUGCUGUCACAGGGGAGUUUACGGGAAUGCCAGAGCAGUGGGCCCGCUUGCUUCAGACAUCAAAUAUCACUAAGUCGGAGCAGAAGAAAAACCCACAGGCUGUUCUGGAUGUGUUGGAGUUUUACAACUCAAAGAAGACAUCCAACAGCCAGAAAUACAUGAGCUUUACAGAUAAGUCAGCUGAGGACUACAAUUCUUCUAAUGCCUUGAAUGUGAAGGCUGUGUCUGAGACUCCUGCAGUGCCACCAGUUUCAGAAGAUGAGGAUGAUGAUGAUGAUGAUGCUACCCCACCACCAGUGAUUGCUCCACGCCCAGAGCACACAAAAUCUGUGAGUCUUUGGGGACCUGGUCAGUUCUGUGAUUUAUUAGAGUAAGUAGGGAGAGGG